rnacentral:lncRNA from 1 species
UCCUUCUCAGCAGGUACUGUUAAGAAGAGAAGACUUGCUGCUUGCAGUCAACUCACGCCAUUGUAAAUGUCCAGAACACUAAUAGAAUUAAAAGAAAAAACUAGUUUCGAUGGAUCCAAUUUGAUUUUUAAAAUUAUUGAUCAGUAGAAUUUGUUUUUUGUGGGUUCCCCUUGUAAGACUCAGUAAAGGCAACAAAUAUUAUAGACUUAAAUAUCUAUUAUAAAUUAAAAUUUCAAUAAUUAUCGUGAUAAAAUUUAUUAGUUUAUGUAUUACGGUAUUAGUUAUUGUAAAUUUAGUUGACAGUUUAUAAAUACUAGGCCCUAACCAACGAAGCAGCGUCGAGGAUACAGAAUUUAAAGAACGAAGAAAAAAGAUGACUUUCAAAAAUCCUACGUUUUUCUGGGAGAUUUUUCUCUUGUUUCUCAUCCUUCUCUUAGUUUUUAAUGUUGCAGCAGCUAGCUCUCUCUGCGUUCGCUUCUUU